GUUGACAAAAAUAUUUGGACUGACAAUUGCAUUGGGUAAUAUCUAUGGUCAGGAAAUGUAAUAUUAAUUGUGAACUGUACCUACUGUUACACAUGUGUGCGCUCACUUAUUUUUUUUUAGAAAAUUAAGAUGAUUGUACGUAUGCGUCACAAGGAAACUUUCAUGAAAUGAGAUACGGAAUCCUACACGUGACCAGUAUCAAAUCCGU
rnacentral:lncRNA from 1 species